AAGUCGUAACAAGGUUUCCGUAGGUGAACCUGCGGAAGGAUCAUUACAGAGUUCAUGCCCUAACGGGUAGACCUCCCACCCUUGUGUAUUUAUACUUUGUUGCUUUGGCGAAUAGUGCGUCUGACGCACUUCAGCCCUCGGGCUGUGAGAUUCUCUUGUUCGCCAGAGGAUACCAAACUCAUAUUUAUUAGUGUCGUCUGAGUACUAUAUUAAUAGUUAAAACUUUCAACAACGGAUCUCUUGGUUCUG
rnacentral:misc_RNA from 1 species